rnacentral:rRNA from 1 species
CCUACGGGGUGCAGCAGUGGGGAAUAUUGCACAAUGGGGGAAACCCUGAUGCAGCGACGCCGCGUGAGUGAAGAAGUAAUUCGUUACGUAAAGCUCUAUCAGCAGGGAAGAAAUACUGACCUUACGGUCAGCAGACGGUACCUGAGUAAGAAGCCCCGGCUAACUACGUGCCAGCAGCCGCGGUAAUCCGUAGGGGGCAAGCGUUAUCCGGAUUUACUGGGUGUAAAGGGAGCGUAGACGGUGCGCCAAGUCUGGAGUGAAAUGCCGCAGCUUAACUGCGGAACUGCUUUGGAAACUGGCGAACUAGAGUGCGGGAGGGGUAAGCGGAAUUCCUAGUGUAGCGGUGAAAUGCGUAGAUAUUAGGAGGAACACCGGUGGCGAAGGCGGCUUACUGGACCGUAACUGACGUUGAGGCUCGAAAGCGUGGGGAGCAAACAGGAGUAGAUACCCUUGUAGUC